rnacentral:rRNA from 1 species
UACAGAGGGUGCAAGCGUUGUUCGGAAUUAUUGGGCGUAAAGCGCGUGUAGGCGGCUUAGCAAGUCGGGCGUGAAAGCCCUCGGCUCAACCGAGGAAGUGCACCCGAAACUGCUGAGCUUGAGUGCCGGAGAGGAUGGCGGAAUUCCUGGUGUAGCGGUGAAAUGCGUAGAUAUCAGGAGGAACACCUGUGGUGUAGACAGCUUACUGGACCACUUCUGACGCUGAGACACGAAAGCGUGGGUAGCAAACAGG